rnacentral:rRNA from 1 species
UACAGAGGUCUCAAGCGUUGUUCGGAUUCAUUGGGCGUAAAGGGUGCGUAGGCGGCGCGGUAAGUCGGGUGUGAAAUCUUGGAGCUUAACUCCGAAACUGCAUUCGAUACUGCCGUGCUUGAGGACUGGAGAGGAGACUGGAAUUUACGGUGUAGCGGUGAAAUGCGUAGAUAUCGUAAGGAAGACCAGUGGCGAAAGCGGGUCUCUGGACAGUUCCUGACGCUGAGGCACGAAAGCUAGGGGAGCAAACAGG